rnacentral:lncRNA from 1 species
CAACAGGACUGAAGAGCCACAUAUUCACCCAUUACUAGUAUUUGACAUUCACCUGAAAUUGGCAAAGGCACCAUGACUAUGCCACAUUAUUCUUCCAAAUGGAAUUAUCAUAGUUUUGGAUAAGUGAUAAGACUCAGACAGCCACGGCUCGGUUUUCCCUUGGGUCCUCGACAAAGCAGUUGUAUCUCUCCACCUCACGGCCACAGACCACUCGGAGAUCAAGGCUUCUGCAUGCCCCCCCUGUCUUGAAUGGAGGAGAAGAGAAGGUGUAAGUCUGAGUAUGUAAAUCCUGCCUGGUAGACAGCCUGUGUUGUUUGUUCUUGGUAAGAGGAGGCUCAAUUAAGAGUUAACUCUAACCCCAGAGCCCUAAAGGCUUAGAACGAGACUCUGCAAGGUGUUCCUGGAGAGAUUAAUGAAGGUUAUAGAAGGAAGCUAAAAUGAAUCUUAGAGAAAACCACAGGGCUGUGGUGUUUUUUUUUAUUUCAACGGAUGAAAUGGAGGCCCUGCAUCAAAUUACUGGCAAAAUCAAUCCUAAUGAUGGCCACUUUCUAGAAAGUCUGGGGGCUUGGAGUUCCUCAACCGGGCCAAGCAAGCUGUUAUACUCUCAGGGAUAUUUGACUCUAGAUACAGAUAACAUCAGCCACGAUGCUCUGCAAUACUGAGCCAGUGGUAUCUAAGCCAGGCAGAAUAGAAUACUGAUGAACCCCAAUGGACCCGUGAGCAGCACCUGGGAGUAGAGCUCUCUCCCCUGAUUCUCACAGUUGACGUCUUCCUGUUCUCUGCUUUUCUCCUUCUUAGUUUCUGAAAGACCCUUCAGUGCCUCUGCUGGUAUAAAACUCAAUCCUGGCCGGGCUCGGUGGCUCACACCUGUAAUCCCAG